UACUGUUCAUUCCUUAACCCCACUGAGGAAAAAAGAUCCUCAGUGGAGUUAAGGAACAAAGUGACUAUGGAAAUUAAAAUGUAAUGUAAUUUCUACAGCACUGUACAGUUUUCCUUGAGGAGAUUGUCCUGUGGCUCCUUUUCUACUUUUUUUGUUCUCUGCAUUUCUGUCUUUUUCUUUCUGAAUCACCAAGGCAUGGUCCAUGAAUAAAUUAUAGCAAAAGCGUAAAUCAGUGUUUCUCAAUCCUGGUCUUCAGCGUCACCCUGUCCUGCAGGCUUAGGUAUUUCCCUUCUGCCACACACCUGAAUUGUAUCUCUGGAUGAUUAACAAGCUUCUGCAGUACUUGAUUGUCAUCCAAUCAUUUGAAUCAGCUGUUCUGGAGUAGAGGCACAUCUAAAACAUGCAGAGCAGGGGGUGGUGAGGAGCAGGGUUGAGAAACACUGGCGUAAAUGAUCCUUUUGUAGUCUCUUCUCAUGACUAAUCAAUUUGACUGUCUUAUCUGUACAUAGAGAGACUAUAACUUAUUAUUUUGAGUCACUGAUAUGUUAACAGACAGAAUUUUAAGAGCUGAACUAAGGAUUUUGAAAGCAAACAAAUGCUAUUUUUCCUGUUUCUACAAAUUGUUUUGAGAAAUGCGCUUACUGUUUUGUAAAUGCCAACAAUGACUUGAGAAAUGCACCAAAAGUGACUGAGAAAAACUAACCUAGCAUAAAUUGUCUCCGCUGUAUCAAUUUGUUUGCCUGUAUGAAAAGUGUUCACAUUUACAGCUUUGUUUCUGCUAGCUUGCAGGAAAUGUAACUUACAUAAAUGGUUGAAGACAACCUAUUGGCCUUCAUGAGACUCAGAUAAAUGACCAGAGGAUCACACCUGUUGACAACAAACAAAGGUUUAACUACUGAAUUUUCAGUCAGAAAUGAUCGCACCACCUGGUUGAAGUACCUGUGUCCAUAUGCAAGUCAACAAAGCAGAGAGGAAACACCCGAUUGACAACAUGCGAGUCUCAAUUUCAACCUGUGACUGGGAAGACUACAACCAUCCUGAGCAACGUCUGAUCUCAGCGACUUGUGACUCUCAACCCAGAACAAGAAUCCUUUUAUCACCAUUUUGUCUUCUACAAUAUGUUAUCUCUUAUGUGGACACAUACUGUUUGUUUUGUUUCUGUUUUCCAGAUCUCAGUAAUACCGUGAGGAAACUGGACAGAAAAUAGAAUCAGUUCUUUUUUUAACUUGACUUUUUAAAUAGAAAUUGUUUCUUUAAGUGGAUUACUCGUAAUCUGU